CUAGUAACUGCGAGUGAAAAAGGAUAAGCUCAUCGCUGAAUCUCUGUGGUUUAAAUACUGCAGCGAACUGUAGCGUAUAAGGAUAUAUUAUGGCAUUAUAUAGAUAUGUAAGUUCUCGUUGAUUCGAGUUCCAUAGAAGGUUUAAGACCUGUAAGAUAUCUAAUAUUUUGUCAAUUGAUAUACUCUUACGAGUCGGGUUGUUUGGAAACGCAGCCCAAAGUAGGUGGUAAACUUCAUCUAAAGCUAAAUAUAACCGUGAGACCAAUAGUAAACAAGUACCGUGAGGGAAAGUUGAAAAGUACUCUGAAGAGAGAGUUAAAAGAACGUGAAAACGAUUAAGUGGAAGCAAACAGGUCUAUUUGAAGGUAUGUAUUUAUGUAUAUAUCUGCUAAUAUGUAUACGAGAUGAUUAUUACCUUGUUAUAAGAGGACUCCAAUUAUAUUGAAGAAACCAUAUAAUGAUUGAACAUUAUUCUCUUAUACGAUUAUUAGCAUUUAUGAUGGUUACCUGUUUGACCCGUCUUGAAACACGGACCAAGAAGUUUAUUGUAUACGCGAGUCAUUAAGUGUAAAAACUUAUUGGCGUAAUGAAAGUGAAGGUUUAUUUGUUAAGCUUACGUAUGAUAAUGUAUUUACGGAUAUAUUAGUAAUACGGUCCUAUUCUAAUGAUUUAUCAUAGAGUGGAGAUAGAGCGUAUGCAAUGAGACCCGAAAGAUGGUGAUCUAUGCUUGAGCAGGAUGAAGCCGGAGGAAACUCUGGUGRAAGUCCGUAACGGUUCUGACGUGCAAAUCGAUCGUCUGACUUGAGUAUAGGGGCGAAAGACUAAUCGAACCAUCUAGUAGCUGGUUCCUUCUGAAGUUUCCCUCAGGAUAGCUUCGGUUAAUACAGUUAUACUCGGUAAAGCGAAUGAUUAGAGGUAUUGGGGACUAAAUGUCCUCAACCUAUUCUCAAACUCUAAAUGGGUAGGAUGUAUUUGUUUCUUAAUUGAACAUAUACAUUAAAUGGUAACCGAAAGUGGGCCAUUUUUGGUAAGCAGAACUGGCGAUAUGGGAUGAACCAUAAGUUAAGUUAAAGUGCCAGAUUUUUCGCACAUGGGACCCCAUAAAAGGUGUUGAUUGGUAUUGACAGCAGGGCGGUGGACAUGGAAGUUGUAAUCCGCUAAGGAGUGUGUAACAACUCACCUGCCGAAUCAAUUGGCCCUGAAAAUGGAUGGCGCUAUAGCGAGAAACUUACACUUAACUGGUGUAUGUAGUAUAUUCAUAUACCAUGUAAGAAGGCGUAACGAUAAGCUUUGAAGGUAUAAGAUGUGAAUCUAACUGGAGCUAUCGUUAGUGCAGAUCUUGGUGAUAGUAGCAAAGAUUCAAGUGAGAAACUUGAAGGCCGAAGUGAAAACGGUUUUCGCGUGAACAGUAUUUGAACGCGAGUUAGUCGGUCCUAAGUCUAUACCUAAAGGUGUUAAUUAUGAGAUAUAUGUUUUAUUAUAUAUCUCUUAGACGAAAGGGAAACAGGUUAAUAUUCCUGUACUUGAAUCAUACGGUGCAAAUUGUUUAUACAAUUUGUAAGGGGCGGUAACGUAUAUGAAACCAUAAAUAUCAUAUAUGGUUCAGGCUAGAGAUAUCUUCUCUAGUUAAUAUAGUUUGUCCAUGGAAUAGGUUCUGCCUGAGAUAUGGAUAAAGUUAUUAAAAAGUAUCGCAGUUUUUGUGAUAUCCUGAGUGCUAUAUAUGAUCCGUGAAAAUAUGGUGAAUCCCUUAUAAUGUAUGAUAAAGCCGUACCGAAACCGCAUCAGGUUUUCAAGGUGUAUAGCCUCUGGUCGAUAGAAUAAUGUAGGUAAGGGAAGUCGGCAAAUUAGAUCCGUAACUUUGGGAAAAGAAUUGGCUCUACGGAUUGAGUAAUAGGAGUAURUAGAARAAGCUUAUAUUUAUAAUAAGAUCUGAGGRAUCGYAAGUGAACUUGGGUUAAUGUUAURRAUAUUUGUUGACRCUAUAUACUAURUUGUUAACGCAAUGUCCUAUUACAAUGAACAAUUAACGUAGAACUGACACGGACUCGGGGAAUCCGACUGUCUAAUUAAAACAGAGCUGAUAGAAAGUGUUUGUACACAUUGACUAUCUGUGAUUUCUGCCCAGUGCUCUGAAUGUUAAUAUAAGGAAACUUGCGUAAGCGCGGGUAAACGGCGGGAGUAACUAUGACUCUCUUAAGGUAGCCAAAUGCCUCGUCAUCUAAUUAGUGACGCGCACGAAUGGAUUAACGAGAUUCCCACUGUCCCUAUCUACUAUCUAGCGAAAUCACAGCCAAGGGAACGGGCUUGGUAAAUACUGCGGGGAAAGAAGACCCUAUUGAGUUUGACUCUAGUCUGGCUUUGUGAGGAAUCACAAGAGGUGUAGUAUAGGAGGGAGCGUAAGCAUCAGUGAAAUACCUCCACUUUUGUCGAUUCUUUACUUAGUUGGUUAAGUGAGAUAUCAUUUAUUUGAUUAUUUAUGUAUUAAAGUAUAUCUUUUUUAAGAUGUAUGACUCUCGCCAAUAACAGUGCCAGGCGGGGAGUUUGACUGGGGCGGUAUAACUGUCAAAUCGUAACGCAGUUGUCCUAAAGCUUACUCAGAAAGGACAGAAACCUUUUGUAGACAAAAAGGUGAAAAGUAUGCUUGAUCUUGAUUCUCAGUACGAAUACAGACCGAAAAAUCGUGGCCUAUCGAUCCUUUUGGAUAUAAAGUUUAUACUAAGAGGUGUCAGAAAAAUUACCAUAGGGAUAACUGGCUUGUGGCAGCCAAGCGUCCAU
rnacentral:rRNA from 1 species